UAAUUCUAGAGCUAAUACAUGCAGGAAGCCCGACUUAAAGGAAGGGCCGUAUUUAUUAGAUAACAGACCAAUAUUCCUCGUGUCUAUUGUGGUGAAUCAUAGUAACUAAUCGGAUCGCAUGGGAAUAUCCCGCGACAAACCAUUCAAGUUUCUGCCCCAUCAGCUUUCGAUGGUAGUGUAUUGGACUACCAUGGCUUUUACGGGUAACGGAGGAUUAGGGUUCGAUUCCGGAGAGGGAGCCUGAGAAACGGCUACCACAUCUAAGGGAGGCAGCAGGCGCGUAAAUUACCCAAUCCUAAUUCAGGGAGGUAGUGACAAGAAAUAACGGAUCGGGGCUAUGCCCUGGGACU
rnacentral:rRNA from 1 species